CUGACAGCCCUGGAGAGUGAUGUCCUCUGUUCAUCCUCAGAAGAGUUACAGCACAGACAGUGGUUGUGCCAGCUUCCUCCACCUGGCUAAUGAACCCAUUGCCCAGCCAAUGAACCACAACUUCAUUCUAGAGUGAAAGUACUGUCCGGCCUCCAUGACUCAGUCAGUCCUUGGCCGCA
rnacentral:sRNA from 1 species